CCCUUAGAUGUUCUGGGCCGCACGCGCGCUACACUGAAGGAAUCAGCACGUCUUUCUCCUUGUCCGAAAGGACUGGGUAACCCGCUGAACCUCCUUCGUGCUAGGGAUUGGGGCUUGUAAUUUUUCCCCAUGAACGAGGAAUUCCCAGUAAGCGCGAGUCAUAAGCUCGCGUUGAUUACGUCCCUGCCCUUUGUACACACCGCCCGUCGCUACUACCGAUUGGAUGGUUUAGUGAGAUCCUCGGAUCGGUCCCGGAGCGGCCUGUGCUUGCGCCGGAGUGCUGAAAAGAAUGUCGAACUUGAUCAUCUAGAGGAAGUAAAAGUCGUAACA
rnacentral:rRNA from 1 species